rnacentral:rRNA from 1 species
CCGCGGUAAUACGGAGGGGGCAAGCGUUGCUCGGAAUUACUGGGCGUAAAGGGUCCGCAGGUGGCCUCGUAAGUUGAAUGUGAAAUCCCCGGGCUCAACCUGGGAAUUGCAUUGGAGACUGCAAGGCUAGAAUCUGGCAGAGGGGGGUAGAAUUCCACGUGUAGCAGUGAAAUGCGUAGAGAUGUGGAGGAACACCGAUGGCGAAGGCAGCCCCCUGGGUCAAGAUUGACGCUCAUGCACGAAAGCGUGGGGAGCAAA